AAACCAAAAGUGAAACUUGGACAUUUAGUUCCAGCUUCGAAACAGCAAUGAUCAAUACGAAGGAUAUUUAGCCGGCUUUUUCUACAAUUAUUUAAGAUAGUAGUACUUCAUCCAAAUCCAUCACAAGCCAACACUCAUUAGGCACCUUGACCUAGUUUCAAGAGUUUCAGUUUAAUGAGUGCAAAUUGUCGCAAAGAAAUACUUUGUCUUAAAAGUAGGAGGAAAGAACAAAAGCAAUUAAUCUUGGGAUGGGAAUGGAUUUAAUUGAUCGCAGCUCCCAUGCCUACUAGUCACCACUCAAAAAAAAAUACUAUAGCAAUACCGCUAAUCCGGUUCUUAAUGGUAGUUUAAUCAGUCGCAAACCGCUUUCCGUCCUAAUGGAGAAAAUGAAAUUAAAUGAACGGAAGAGAAUCCACUCCAAAGCAGGCCAAUGAUUAUCUCCAAAACAGCCAGCCACCUCUUGUUGAGCAAUACUGUAUCGUGCCCCACUAAGAUUGAAGAAAUCUCAGGCCAAGAUAACGGAGCCCUGGUUUUAUUUCCGACCAAAAAGCUCGCAAUGUGCAUCAAUGUGGAGGAACAGUUGUGACGAAAUGAGCUCUCAAAGGUAGAUAAGAACUUUUUUUAUGACCUCUCUAACCCAAGCAAUGGCCUCCCCCGCUUCAUGAGUGUUUUAUUCCUAUCUAAAGGUGGAUGCACACAAAGUAUGGACUGCAAAUUACGUGCAAGACAGGUUUCCAACCAGCUCAAGGCUCCUGUGCUCUUGGAUGAAUGAAGGACGUUUCGCUGCACCCAAGAAAGAAGGUUCAUUCAGGCCAGUUGAGGCGUAGUCAUUUCAAGAUUGAGCCUCCAUGUUUUGAAUUUCACCACUUCAAACGGAGAACGUGAAUAACACAUUCAUUCAGUCAUCCUAUCCUCGCUCUCUUCAAUUCAACCAAGGACGUUUUAAGUACGGAGGUACAAGUAGUGAAAAGAUUAAGAGCCUGCGAACUAAUUUUAGAGCGGAUAUGUGUAUUUUUUCUUUUAUCUGUUGCAUGACUUAAAUUUGUCUCGCGCUUAACUUAGCUACUAUUAAAUCAAGAAGGAAAAUACCUGUGGUAACAUGAGUGGAAAACAAGAAUAAAAAAUCAUGGCACCUACAUAGAGAUAAGAUUUAUUCAAUUUUUUACUUCACCAAGCCGAUAGACCUAAAACAUUUUUUAACCAACGUUAAAGCAUUAGCGGGGAAAGUAUUUUUUGAAUAAAACUAAAUCUGGGAAGUAAUAGUAAUUGAUUUUAGCGUCACAUACAUCCUUCCCAUAUUCAUCCAAUAAUCAUUGGAAAGAAUUGUAAAUUUUUGAGCAGAUUAUCGUAAGAUACGAAAGUCAGAUAGUGAAUGAUUCACAUAAUUCAAGUGUCAAGAGUUGAAGCUUUCAUUUGAUUGUAUUGGAUCAAAAUGAUUAGGCUAAGGUAUUUGUAAUUCAGGGGCAAGAAAAAGAAUAAGAAACAUUUGUCACAAGCGUAAGGGGAAGGAUCUAUCUUUAGACUAAAGCACAAACGUGGUAUCGUGGUACACGCUACAAAGUCCAUGAACGUUUCGGUUCAAAGCAAAUUAUCAAGUCACUCAAACUUUAGUUUCAAUCGCAUGUUAAGCUUUGCAUUAAUUUAAAUCAUUAAGAUCAGACGUCCAUUUGGGCAAAAUGAUCCAUUGUUAACUUCCAGCUUUGAAGUGGAGUCGGUGUGAUUGUUUCCAAACUAAUCGAAGAAGGCCUGAAAAUCCUUGACUUUUCAUUGGAAGAUUUUAGCGUUUGAUUACAACCUCAAUCAUUUUUCUCGGUGCCGCCUAUUCCUACAUAGUAGACUAAUGUUGAACACGAGCAUAUUCGCAUCUUGGAGUUUGUUGCCAAAGCCAAAACGAAGUUGAAUUUAUGCCAACCAUGUUCCAAAUGGAGAGUGGGUGGCCACAAAGCACGAUCACUGAUCAGGGUUGGCAUCACAAUCAUCAUCAUCAUCAUUAUUAUGAUCAUCAUCAUCAUCAUCAUCAUCAUCAUCAUCCACUGGGAUUGAGGGGAAAAUUCCUUGAAGAUCGACUCUUUGCAGAACGUGACAAGUGCCAAAACUGCACAAUCAGGAUGGAUUCGGGAGCAAAUUCAUUUCGAUCCGUAACAAAAGGUGGAGAAGUUCACGUCAUACCAUCAUCUUCCGAAAAGCUGCAUCAUGCAUGAUCAAAUGAUGACUGCAUUCUCCUCUAACAUGGACCAACAUCAGCCAUAUGAGUCGAGAUAUCCAAUGCACUUCCUGUAUCCAAAUUUCAAGAGGCCGGAUCCAAAUGUCAGGCCCAUGAAGUGAUGUACAAUGAUGUUUUUAGACUGGAGCUCUACGAACAUGGUCAACUUCCGUUGUUUUUUUCUUCAA